CAGUCGCCGCGGUAAUACGAAGGGGGCUAGCGUUGCUCGGAAUUACUGGGCGUAAAGGGAGCGUAGGCGGACAUUUAAGUCAGGUGUGAAAUCCCAGAGCUCAACUCUGGAACUGCCUUUGAUACUGGGUGUCUUGAGUGUGAUAGAGGUAUGUGGAACUCCGAGUGUAGAGGUGAAAUUCGUAGAUAUUCGGAAGAACACCAGUGGCGAAGGCGACAUACUGGAUCAUUACUGACGCUGAGGCUCGAAAGCGUGGGGAGCAAACAGGAUUAGAUACCCCAGUAGUCCCUGUCUCUUAUAC
rnacentral:rRNA from 1 species